rnacentral:rRNA from 2 species
GCAUGUGCGCGAGUCAUUGGGACUCUGUUAAACCUAAAGGCGCAAUGAAAGUAAAGGUCCGCCUCGCGCGGACCGAGGGAGGAUGGGCCCGUCCACGGACGGGCCCCGCACUCCCGGGGCGUCUCGUCCUCAUCGCGAGGAGAGGCGCACCCAGAGCGUACACGCUGGGACCCGAAAGAUGGUGAACUAUGCCUGGUCAGGACGAAGUCAGGGGAAACCCUGAUGGAGGUCCGUAGCGAUUCUGACGUGCAAAUCGAUCGUCGGAACUGGGUAUAGGGGCGAAAGACUAAUCGAA